CACAUGCAAGAAGCUAUAAAAGGGGGAAAUAACAUUACCACGAGGCCUCACUCCCCCUGCAAGACAACACCUGAGGAAUAAAGACUGAACUGGGGAAGCAGGGUCCCAGGUGGGACAGAAGAAUUCCUGCCUGUGUAUGCAAAAGCAAUAACCUGCUUUACCAGCUAACAGACUUUUUGUAGGUCACAGAUGAAAUUAGGCUCUCAGUUUUAGCAGUAAAAAAAAAAACAGGAGUACUUUAAACCUGGAAUAGCUCCAGCAACGUCAUUAGUAAUGGAUAGAGCCUGCACCAUUAAAGUGAAUGGGAGAAUUGCUACUGACUGCAGGAGCAGGCCCAAUAUGAAUACAUGAGAGCAAGCGAAGAAGAAUUGGAUUAUCCAGGUGCUGAGUAACACACAGGAUCAAGAGUCCUGCUGAAAAGACCAAGAGGAAGUCUGACAAAAACUAAUGACCUGAUCCAUACACGGAGCCCUUGUUGACUUGAACUGACAGCAGCUGAGCGUAGAGUUACUAAGAACAGAAAAUGUAGUUGGGGGGGAUGUUGUCAUCGUAUGCAUCCAUAAAGCACCAUACAUGUGACUUAACAAUAACUCCAGCAGCUGAAAUGGUUCCGGCUCUAUCUAUGUACUUACAUGACUUCCAUCACUGUUGCAUCUAAGCACCUAACUUCCUAUAGUCCCAGAAUAUACAGGUUUUGUCUGGGUAGUCUGUGUAGUGCUUGCUGCCCUGACCCCUCAGUCUUGGGGGCUGCUCUUGUCCACAGCUCUGAAGCAAGUAGCUGAGAGGAUAUUCCAUAGCCAGAUCCCACAGCUGUGGCAUUGCAGGCCCGGGUCCUGGGGUAAUAGAGACUGUGCAGUUGAUGCAUUUGAUCUCUGGAGAGGAAGGAGUAAAUGCUGGAUGCAUGGCACCCUGUGCCAGCUGGCUUGGGAGGAGCAACAUUGGCUUUGAUUGUGCAAGCAGGUGCCCACUUCCCCUCCUCAUCUAAUGGAGAGAGCUAGGGAACAGCUGUAAGCAGAGCAAAGUUAAAAAAAUAGAGGGAAAUAGGGAUUAAAAAAUAACUGGCUUGUCUGGCACGGGGAACUUGACAUGUUUUUCAUCUAAAUUAAAGAGAAAGUUGUGCUGUUGUUUUUCUGUCUGAAACAAUUGGCUAAUACAAGAGCUGCACAUUUUCGAGAAGUGAGAACAAGCCAUAUGUCUUCCAUAAAAACAUACUGAUACAGUUGAGCCUGCAAUGUAAGCUCUGUGGUAAAUCAUUUUUCUCACAUGCCAUGGUUAAAGCAAGCAAUAUUUUUAUUUGCCAAAAUGUAUUUACAGCAUUGUAUUAUCAUUCAUCUCUGUCAGUUUUGCAUUUGUUAUCAUUGACACAUGGUAAAGUAGUUUCAAUUAUCUCUGAGCGCAAGAACUGAGAAUUUUUUCUAUUCAACACAGUCUAGUUCACUUCCAGUAUCUAAGCUACCAUAAUACAAAUGUUACUGAAGGUUCCUUUUUUUCCUUUUUAGUUCAUAAUAAAGGCAGCUCACUUGAGCAAAUAGUUCCUUUGAAAUGCUAAAAUCCUUCUCAGAUGUGUUUUUUGUUAGAUCAGCUGCACUGUUAAAAUACUUUUUCUUUUCCCUUUAGCUUGAAUGCAGAAUAACACUUAUUAGCCAUAUGGACACAAAGUAGCUCAUCCACUGAAGACAACUGAAUUAAAGCUUCAUGUGGAAAGAUGAAUUAACUGUGAUGCAGGAUGUAAAAACCGCAAUUAUAUUAAGUGACUGUUUUUACUCUUUCACUUCUUAUGCAACACAAUCUUUGGGGGAAAAAAAAGUAAAAACAGCAUCCACAAACAUUCACAGUCAUACUUGU